rnacentral:rRNA from 1 species
UACGAAGGGGGCUAGCGUUGCUCGGAAUUACUGGGCGUAAAGCGCACGUAGGCGGGUCAAUAAGUCGGGGGUGAAAUCCUGGAGCUCAACUCCAGAACUGCCUCCGAAACUGCUGAUCUUGAGUUCGGGAGAGGUGAGUGGAACUGCGAGUGUAGAGGUGAAAUUCGUAGAUAUCAGGAGGAACACCUGCGGUGUAGACGGCUUACUGGACCAUAACUGACGCUGAGGCACGAAAGCGUGGGUAGCAAACAGG